rnacentral:piRNA from 1 species
UGGAAAUGUGUGACUACCGCUGGUUGAU